rnacentral:rRNA from 1 species
UGCGUAGGCGGUUUGGUAAGUCUUAUGUGAAAUCUAUGGGCUCAACUCAUAGUCUGCAUGAGAAGCUGCCGGGCUUGAGUAUGGGAGAGGUGAGUGGAAUUCCUGGUGUAGCGGUGAAAUGCGUAGAUAUCAGGAGGAACACCUGUGGCGAAAGCGGCUCACUGGACCAUAACUGACGCUGAUGCACGAAAGCUAGGGGAGCAAACAGGAUUAGAUACCCUGGUAGUCCUAGCCCUAAACGAUGACUGCUUGGCGUGACGGGUACCCAAUCCCGCCGUGCCGUAGCUAACGCGUUAAGCAGUCCGCCUGGGGAGUACGGUCGCAAGGCUGAA